ACUUCAGGAGGUCCCCUCCACCACACACACCGGUGAACAUCCAGGGCUCAGACAUUGAGACUGUGGACACAUUUAAAUAGCUGGGUGUUCAUCAACAAUAAACUGGACUGGCAAUCCACACCAAGGUCUGUAUAAGAAGGACCAGAGUCGCCUCCACCUGCUGAGAAGACUGUGUGCAGACAGCUACUAAGGACUCUCUAUGACACUGUGGUGGCCUCAGUAGUCCUGUAUGGAGUUGUGUGCUGGGUAAUGUGAAAAAUCUACACUGUGUAGUAUUUACAGUAUGAUGUGCAAUACCUCCAUACACAUACAUGUGCAAUGCACCAUAUAUAAAUACUUGAGUGCCAUGUGUUUUCGUCUUGAUUAUUUCUCAAACAUUUUAAUACUGUUUUUUUUUUUUAUCUUUUAUCUCUGUCUGUUGUUUUUGUCAUUGCUACAAACAAAGGAAUUUCCCCAUCUUAUCGUAAGAUGAAUGUAACAUCAUCAGUGUACUUCAGCUGCUUGAUCCCUUCUUUAACAACUGCCCAGCAUUAAACAAAUGUGGCAGAAGAAGAAAACAGCAUUUCUUCAUAUUGGUAGUUUUAACUUAUCAAAACUGCAGCAAUAGUUGGAUAGCAAUGUAUGGAUGUCUUAUCAAUAUCUUACCUUAUAAAUUCAAAACAACCAAGCUUCAGAAACAUUCACUCUCCUUUACCAGUAGUAUUUUGUCUUUACUGUUGCGGGUCAAUGAUUGAAUUUCACUGAUGUAAACAAGGGAUUCAUUGCAAGGCUACUUUCUCAAAAUACUUCUUCCCUGUUGAGUCUACGCUCCUGCUGUUCACUCACCAACCUGCUCCUGUGGUCACAUAACUUCAUUUUGUCUCCUUCUCGCUGCUUCUUGAUCGCUUUUCAUCUCGACCUCAUGCGCCGACUUUGAACUCUCUCUGCUUCCUUUAUCAUAGUGCGACCAUGGAGGUUUGACGGACAUUUAGACUUUGAUUUUGUGAACAUGGUCUGUGUUACUGAGAUGUUGGGGAUAAUCGAUUUGACCAUGACAUGGAGGAAGGUAAUUUGCCUCAAACGUCAUCGUGCUGUUUCAGGUUAAAGUUGUAGGACAAUUUGAAUGUUUCUUUCCCUUUGAAAGCUGCUGACAUCAGCAUUACUAAAAACUCUUCCACGUCAUUUUCAUUUUUCUAUAUCUUAAAUACUCUUUUAUACUCUUCUUUUCUUCUCUUCUGUCCCGAUUUUUUACAGCAUUCAUUCAUAAUAUUAUAAAAGCUUUUAUUAGGACUACUUCUAAUACUUCUACUUCUGUUGCACUUGUAAGGUUUAAAACAUUAACAUCACGAUAAAAACUCUGUCUGUUCGUGCAUCCUCGAGGUUCUGUGUAAGAUGAAGCAAUCUGUCAAACACCCUCAAGCAUCUCUAACAAGAAGUACUUUAGUUUGAAUAAACAAGUCAAA
rnacentral:lncRNA from 1 species